rnacentral:lncRNA from 1 species
AAUGCAAGGAAGUUGACAUGUCAUCACUUCAUUUUUUUGCGCCUGCGCAUAAAUCUGAGAAGCGUGAGUUUGUCAUCUAUUGUUUAUCUAGACAUAGGAUAGGUUGUGUGAAAAUAUUACUGAUGUUUAACGUUAAAAAUGGACCAAAAGAUUAAUGCUAAACAACGUUUGACAUGUUUGAACGAACGUAAAUAGAUUAUUUACUAGGUUUUUUAGCUUUUCGGCGUGAUUUUACACCCCCCCCCCCCACCACGUUUUGUGGGAGCAUAAUGAACGCUAACUACUUGGUGUUAUUUGGACAUAAAUUAUGAACUUUGUCAAAAGAAACCACAUUUGUUCCGGACCUGGGAUGCCUUUCGGACCUGGGAUUCCUGGCAGUGCCUUCUGAUGGAGAUAAUCAAAGCUGCUCACAUCAGCACUCUGUUGGAGACAGUGGACAUCCUGUUGGAUCACAUUCAUCUGUGAAGUCCCGAUCGCCAGCUGACAUCACGUGGACAUAGAACAACCACCCCAUCCCAGCCUCAGAUUUAAAAUCCCCACCAACAUAAGGCUACUGAUUGAGUCCAAGGCCGUGUUGCCCUGUGUCACGUUAGGAAACCCCAAAUCCAGAUGAUCUCCUGGAUAACAGAUGAUGCUUUUAUACAGGUGGCGAAUCGCAUCUCUGCAUGUGUGGCAGACAUAUCAGUGUGGAUGACGGAUCACCACCUCAAGCUGAACCUCGGCAAGACGGAGCUGCUCUUCCUCCCGGGGAAGGACUGCCCGUUCCAUGAUCUCGCCAUCACGGUUGACAACUCCCUUGUGUCCUCCUCCCAGAGUGCUAAGAGCCUCGGCGUGACCCUGGACAACACCCUGUCGUUCUCCACUAACAUC